rnacentral:rRNA from 1 species
AAAGCUUGCUUUUCUGGUGGCGACCGGCGCACGGGUGCGGAACGCGUAUGGAACCUGCCCCUGUCAGGGGAAUAGCCCAGGGAAACUUGGAUUAAUGCCCCAUGGUAUCGUUAUAUCGCAUGAUAUUACGAUUAAAGAUUUAUCGGACAGGGAUGGCCAUGCGUACCAUUAGUUAGUUGGUGGGGUAACGGCCCACCAAGGCAGCGAUGGUUAGGGGCCCUGAGAGGGGGAUCCCCCACACUGGUACUGAGACACGGACCAGACUCCUACGGGAGGCAGCAGUGAGGAAUAUUGGACAAUGGGCGGGAGCCUGAUCCAGCCAUGCCGCGUGCAGGAUGACGGCCCUAUGGGUUGUAAACUGCUUUUAUACGGGAAGAAACGCACCUACGUGUAGGUGUCUGACGGUACCGUAAGAAUAAGGACCGGCUAACUCCGUGCCAGCAGCCGCGGUAAUACGGAGGGUCCGAGCGUUAUCCGGAAUCAUUGGGUUUAAAGGGUCCGUAGGCGGGCCUGUAAGUCAGGGGUGAAAGUUUGUGGCUCAACCAUAAAAUUGCCUCUGAUACUGCAGGUCUUGAGUCAUGGUGGGGUUGCCGGAACAUGUGGUGUAGCGGUGAAAUGCAUAGAUAUCACAUAGAACACCGAUCGCGAAGGCAGGUGACCAACCAUGUACUGACGCUGAUGGACGAAAGCGCGGGUAGCGAACGGGAUUAGAUACCCCGGUAGUCCACGCCGUAAACGAUGGAUACUAGCUGUGGGGACUUCGGUCUCCGUGGCCAAGCGAAAGUGAUAAGUAUCCCACCUGGGGAGUACGUUCGCAAGAAUGAAACUCAAAGGAAUUGACGGGGGCCCGCACAAGCGGUG